rnacentral:rRNA from 1 species
UGGGGAAUAUUGCACAAUGGGCGCAAGCCUGAUGCAGCCAUGCCGCGUGUGUGAAGAAGGCCUUCGGGUUGUAAAGCACUUUCAGCGAGGAGGAAGGUGGUGAGCUUAAUACGCUCAUCAAUUGACGUUACUCGCAGAAGAAGCACCGGCUAACUCCGUGCCAGCAGCCGCGGUAAUACGGAGGGUGCAAGCGUUAAUCGGAAUUACUGGGCGUAAAGCGCACGCAGGCGGUUUGUUAAGUCAGAUGUGAAAUCCCCGGGCUCAACCUGGGAACUGCAUUUGAAACUGGCAAGCUAGAGUCUCGUAGAGGGGGGUAGAAUUCCAGGUGUAGCGGUGAAAUGCGUAGAGAUCUGGAGGAAUACCGGUGGCGAAGGCGGCCCCCCUGGACGAAGACUGACGCUCAGGUGCGAAAAGCGUGGGGCAGCAAACAGGAUUAGAUACCCUGGUAGUCCACGCUGUAAACGAUGUCGAUUUGGAGGUUGUGCCCUGAGGCGUGGNUUCCGGAGCUAACGCGUUAAAUCGACCGCCNGGGGAGUACGGCCGCAAGGUUAAAACUCAAAUGAAUUG